GUACCUAAAUGCACUCGCCUGCCACUGUCGUUGCCAUGCAGUGGCGCCAA
rnacentral:rRNA from 1 species